AUCUGUGAAAAUUUUCAUCAAGAGUGGAAAUUGGAGGCUAUGACCUGUCUUACUAGACAGGUCACGCAGUUUAGAUGGAGGGGGUGCAUCUUAAAUUGGUGAGUCUCGGAUCGUCCACUCAUUAGCCAGAAAAUACGAGGUCAUAAACAAGUCAUUUGCAACCAGCACAAAAUGGUUUUCCUUCACUCACACUGCAACCAGUACAAAACACAAUACUGAUGUAUCCAUACUUUCACAACCUGACUGUUAUACGCAGCACUACAUAGUUUGUACAAUACACACACAAUCUCCACUCACCCAACUACAGUUUUUACAGCACACCCACCUCCCAUCCCUCUUAUGUCAACAACAUAGUAACUAGG
rnacentral:lncRNA from 1 species